rfam:Homo sapiens chromosome X, GRCh38 reference primary assembly.
GCCGGGCAUUGUGGCGGGCGCCUGUAAUCCCAGCUACUCGGGAGGCUGAGGCAGGAGAAUCGCUUGAACCUGGGAGGCAGAGGUUGCAGUGAGCCAAGAUUGCGUCACUGCACUCCAGCCUGGGUGACAGAGCGAGACUCUGUUUCAA